GACGUAGGGGGCGAGCGUUGUCCGGAGUUACUGGGCGUAAAGGGCGCGCAGGCGGUUUGUCGCGUCGGCCGUGAAAUCUCCACGCUUAACGUGGAGCGUGCGGUCGAUACGGGCAGACUUGAGUUCGGUAGGGGAGACUGGAAUUCCUGGUGUAGCGGUGAAAUGCGCAGAUAUCAGGAGGAACACCGGUGGCGAAGGCGGGUCUCUGGGCCGAUACUGACGCUGAGGAGCGAAAGCGUGGGGAGCGAACAGG
rnacentral:rRNA from 1 species